CCUGUUUCUCUGCCAGCAGGUUUCUCAACGAAAGGUGGAACGUCUGAUUUACGUGACCUCAGACCCAACUCCGAUGAAGCGGGAAGCGUUUGCUACGUGGCCGUGGAAUCUGGAAGUGGCUUCCAGGAAUAGCCAGCCAGGGUGGCCAGGGAGGGCCACCCACAUACCAGAAGAGAGGACCGUGGGAGAGAGAGGCCCUGAAAGGAGCCGGUCAGCCGUGAUGGCUGUGCAGCCGGUGGUGACUCAGUCGGGUCAGCCGGACGGGUGUCAGCAGCGGGGAGGCAGGAGAUCUUGACUGCCUAAGAGAGCUUGAAUGCCUCGCUUCUAUGGGGUGCUCACUGCAGGGCAAAAGAAUGGGGGGAGGAUUCCGUACACAAUCAUUAGCGGAGAGCUUGAGGCUGUGCACCGAGAGGCGACACAACGUCCGCCAGCGGACAGAGAUGGCGGCUGCUUUGGGUGGACGUGGUCUGCACCGAGGAAGGUCUGAGCUCUGGCUCCGCGUGCUCUUACAAACUGGGCAGGCUCGUGACUGGAAGGGAUGGAACAGAAGCUGUGCGCCCACCGUCAGCCGCUGGGACGAGGCUGCACGCUUUUGGUCGUGUUGAGCUCACCUUAUGAAGUGUCUCGUGGUGGAAACGAAAUCGCCCGCAAAAUCCGAAGGCUCCCACGAUGCAACUGUUGGCAGUCCCUAUCUUUUCAGGCUCUUCUUCGAGCACAGAGAGGCCAACAUCCGGGGAGGAAGCGGGCCUGCAGAAUGCUCCAGCCGGGCUGGCCUGAAACGCUGACCCCGCUCACCCUGUACGGGAGACCUUGUCCGAUGAACCCCCCGGGGUCCUGGCCUUGCCGCCUGGCAAAAAUACGUGCCCCCACCGCCUCGUGCGCCACUCGGUCUGGUUUCACCACCCUCCCGACACACCGUGUGUCUGUGUUGCCUUCCUGGCUCUGCUCGGGCUUGGGGAAUGUUCUGGGUCAGCUUCAUGAAGGACCACGGGAUCCCGUGCUCAGAAGGGCCCUGUACUUGCUUUAAUGACCAGUUGUCAACAUGUUGAAAUUCUUAAUAGUUUUGAACAAGGUGACUAAUUUUUUUUUAAUGUUUUAUUUAUUUUUGAGAGAGAGAGAGAGAGAGAGAGAGAGAGAGACAGAGCAUGAGCGGAGGAGGGGCAGAGGGAGAGGGAGACACAGAAUCCGAAGCAGGCUCCAGGCUCCGAGCCAUCAGCACAGAGCCCGACGCGGGGCUCCAACUCACGAACCGCGAGAUCAUGACCUGAGCCAAAGCCGGACGCUUAACCCACUGAGCCACCCAGGUGC
rnacentral:lncRNA from 1 species